UACGUAGGGGGCUAGCGUUGUCCGGAUUUAUUGGGCGUAAAGAGCGUGUAGGCGGCCAGGUAGGUCUGCUGUGAAAACUCGAGGCUCAACCUCGAGACGUCGGCGGAAACCAUCUGGCUAGAGUCCGGAAGAGGAGAGUGGAAUUCCUGGUGUAGCGGUGAAAUGCGCAGAUAUCAGGAGGAACACCGGUGGCGAAGGCGGGACUCUGGGCCGAUACUGACGCUGAGGAGCGAAAGCGUGGGGAGCGAACAGG
rnacentral:rRNA from 1 species